AUGCUCAUUCUCAAAAAAAGCGGAAAAGCAAUGAUGUUUCCACUCCAUUUUCAUUACGAAGAUGUAUUACGUCAGGAUCUGUUGCUCAAACUGAAUCACGCCAAUGUUAUGGAAGUUCCUGGAUUGUUUGAAAUAAGAUUAGUACCAAAAGCUGCCUCUGAUUUCAGAAUCCAAUUUGGAAAAUUGGCUAUGGAGAUUUUGUGCGGUCAGAGAUUCAUACAGACACAAAGGGGCCCCUAUUUUCAAGCAGGAAAGUCGUUUCGAUCCAAUCCAUUCUUGGGGUCCGAAAAAGACACUGGAUAUGUCAGUGACUUUGCACGACAAAGCGUUCUCCGAGGGCAUGGAAUGUACCAUUUUUUGGUCAGAAUCUUUACAGUAAUGUCUAUGUUGGAUUCUCCGGUCGAAAUACGGGAAAACUCCAUCAAAUUCUUUAUGGAAAUGGAGUUUUGCGAAUUCUCCCCGGAACUGGAAGAUCAUUUCGAGAUCUUCAAGCAUAUUCGAGGGUUCAAUGUGACUAUUGUCACUUCGGCCAAUACAAAAGAUGAGACUUUACUACUGUGGAGCGGCUUUUUGCUAAAAGAUGAGGGGGAAACUAAGUAA
rnacentral:rRNA from 1 species